rnacentral:snoRNA from 1 species
GGUUUGAUGAUGUUUCCCCAUGAACACUCCUUGGAAAAACUAAACAAAAUAUGUGAAAACACUACCAUUUUUCUCAUCAUGACUGAGGUUC